GGAUUAGAUACCCUGGUAGUCCACGCUGUAAACGAUGGGUACUAGGUGUUGGAGACAUCGACCUCUUCAGUGCCGGAGCAAACGCAUUAAGUACCCCGCCUGGGGAGUACGGUCGCAAGAUUGAAACUCAAAGGAAUUGACGGGGGCCCGCACAAGCGGUGGAGCAUGUGGUUUAAUUCGAUGCAACGCGCAGAACCUUACCUGGACUUGACAUGUUAGCCAACACCUUGGAGACAAGGUGGUAUCCCGGUUUACCGGGACUCCUUACACAGGUGCUGCAUGGCUGUCGUCAGCUCGUGUCG
rnacentral:rRNA from 1 species